rnacentral:rRNA from 1 species
GACGAACGCUGGCGGCGUGCUUAACACAUGCAAGUCGAACGGUGAAGCGCCUUCCUUUUUGGUGGGUGUGGAUGAGUGGCGAACGGGUGAGUAACACGAGAGUAACCUGCCCCCUUCUUCUGGAUAACCGCAUGGAAGUGUGGCUCAUACAGGAUAUUCUGGUUCUGUCGCAUGAUUGGUCUGUGUCAGCUAUUGUUUCGGUGGGGGAUGGGCUCGCGGCCUAUCAGGUUGUUGGGGGGGUGAUGGCCUACCAAGGCGGUGACGGGUAGCAGGCCUGGGAGGGUGGACGGCCAGACAGGGAGAGAGGCCCGGCUCAGACUGCGACGGGAGGCAGCAGUGGGGAAUAUGGCACAGUGGGGGAAAGUGUGAUGCGGCGAGGCCGCGUGAGGGAUGGAGGCCUGCGGGUUGUGAACGUCUUUCGCUAGUGAAGCAGGCCUGCCUCGUUUGUGGGUGGGUUGACGGUAGCUGGAUAAGAAGCGCCGGCUAACUACGUG